CAGUAGCCGCGGGAAUACGGAGGGAGCUAGCGUUGUUCGGAAUUACUGGGCGUAAAGCGCACGUAGGCGGUUAUUCAAGUCAGAGGUGAAAGCCCGGGGCUCAACCCCGGAACUGCCCUUGAAACUAGAUGACUAGAAUCUUGGAGAGGUCAGUGGAAUUCCGAGUGUAGAGGUGAAAUUCGUAGAUAUUCGGAAGAACACCAGUGGCGAAGGCGACUGACUGGACAAGUAUUGACGCUGAGGUGCGAAAGCGUGGGGAGCAAACAGGAUUAGAUACCCCCGUAGUCCCUGUCUCUUAUAC
rnacentral:rRNA from 1 species